UGGCAUCUGUCAAAACUGUACAAAAGCAUUCACAAUCAACCCGCAUCCAAAACUGCAAAAUGUCAGGUCGAUGUCGCCACGAAAGCUGUGCCAAGAACCACGCCUUCAUGGGAGGGGGCAUGAGGAGAGUGAGCCCCGUGCUGUUGGUGCUCCAAUCAUGAGCGCUCACGGCAUGUCUGUGCUGCUGCCAAGGGCUCGAGCCCGCCACCAAGGCUCCGCGAGAAGCAUCA
rnacentral:RNase_MRP_RNA from 1 species